rfam:Pseudomonas syringae strain GAW0119 contig52.1, whole genome shotgun sequence.
GCGGAUGUGGUGGAAUUGGUAGACACACUGGAUUUAGGUUCCAGCGCCGCAAGGUGUGAGAGUUCGAGUCUCUCCGUCCGCA